GAUCUGCAGAUGCCUAGCAAGGGACUCGGCCCCUCACGUGCUGGGCUGCACGUAGCUUGGAUCCCCAGGCUUAAUUUCUUCAUCUUUUGGCUCCUUCUCCACCUUCGUAAGGCUGUGAAGGUCUCCUCUUUGCUGCCGAGCACGGGAUGCAGAGCUGCCCAAGUCAGUUCACCACCGGAGCUCUCAGAUUCCUGCUUCUGCUACCAUGCUGGCUAUUAGCUAGCUUGCCUCUGCUCUCCCACAAUGGAGGAAUGCACGGCAGCACACAGGCAGACCAGUUGCUGGAGAAGUUGAGAGUUCUGCAUCCAGAUCCACAGGCUGCAGGAAGAGAGAAACCCUGGGCCUGGUUUGGGCCCAUUUCCUCCAACAAGGCCAUGACUCCUAAUCCUUUCUAAUAGUGCCACUCCCUAAGCAUUCAAAUAUAGGAGCCUCUGAAGGCCAUUCUUAUUCAAACUACCACAGGGUCUUAGCCGUUCUGCGAAGAAUCCAAAGCCUACCUGAACUGGAAAAUGGUGAUAAUCCUCCUGUAUUAGGGGGUUAGCAAAGUUGAUUAGCACAGAGAUAAAUAAAUCAAAGGGAAAGGGGUAAACUGGGUAAAUGCAGGUUCUUUAAAGGGUAAAUCAGUCUGAUUGGUUGCUAGAAGAGUGGCCCUGGCCAAAAUUAACCUAAGAUUUCCCAGAUGGUUAGUGUCAGUCAUCAAGAACAAAAGCUAUGAGACUGGCCUCUGGGCAUGUCUGUUGAGGGGCAUCCUAAUCAAUUGAUUAAGUUGGGAAGACUUGCCCACUGUGGGUGGCACCACUCCCUGGGCAGGAGACCCUAAGCUGUGUAAGGAGAAAGCAAGCUGAGCACUCCCAUGCAGACUAGCAUCCAUCACUCGCUUCUGACUGUGGACAUAGGGAUGUAACAAGACUAGCUGCUUCCGGCUCCUGGUGCCUUGACUCCCCUACCACGAAGGGCAGUAAUAUCCUUGAACUGUAAGUGAACAUAAACCUCUUCUCCUUUAAAUUGCUUUCGUCAGUGUAUUUUAUCACAGCGGCAGGAAAGAAAACUAAGACCGUCAGCGUUUACUGAGGCAGCACCUCACGCAGCUCUCAACCAUAACCAAGACAGUUUAUUACCAUCUUCAUUCUGCCCAUGAAAAGAAUCUUGCAGUCGCUCAGUGACUAUCCGCAUUGCACAGUUGCCAAUGCCAGCUAAAACUCCAGCCCUGGGCUAGCCCUGAAGUACCUUUUUUCCUAUGUCAUACUGUCAAAAAAAAAAAAAAAAAAAAAAAAAAGGGUAAAGAUUUACUAAUUGGUUAUAAAAGUGAGGCUGGAGAGAUGGUCAGGAUAAAGCCCUUGCCAGGCAAGCAUUAGAACCCAGUCAGGUAGGUGUGAUGAUGGCCUGUCUAGAGACUACAGAGUCCUAGGGUGAGCUGGCUAGCUGAUGGGAAAGCCUUGGCCAAAGACCUUACAUCAGCAAAUGAAGAGGGACAGGAAGACACCCAAGUCAAUCUUUAGCCUUUUCAGGCAUGCAUGUGUGUCCUGCCCCCCCCCCACCCCACCCCCCCACACACAAAUACACUAUGAACAAACACACAAAGUAGACAGGAGAAUAUUUAUACCUAAAACUCAGUUCUAAGGCUGAAUUCUGUUGAAUAAACAUAUUAUUCAUCAGAUUUUUUAUACUCCAAUUGUUCUUAUAGAUGCAACAGCCAAGAGUCUAAAACAAUAUACCUUUGUUCUCUACUCAGUAAAUCUGAAGUUUUUGCCACAGAAAUUCAGGCUCUGCAAAUUCAUACAAGUUAUGUCUUCAGUAUAACUUUUUAAAAUGCAAAACAAAAAAUUUAAGGCAAAUUAAUGAUGAAUCAAAACAAUGGGUGAUGCAUCUCAGGCACUUUAAACACCACAGCAGUCAUUCGGAAGCUUCCACACCCCUUUCUAAACUACACGCAGGGGGAAUUUUGUUCUACAACGGUGUGUUCACGGUAGGAAAAAAAGCAAAUACUAAAUAAAAUACUAAUAUAUGUUCUAAACAAGAUGGGAGAGAGGCAAAAAAGGGAAGAAGAAAAAUCACCAUGAAAACCAUUCUAUUGGGAGCUGGAGAGAUGGCUCAGCAGUUAAGAACGUGGAAGCUGUUGCAGCAGAUCCUUUCAGUUUCCAGCACCCACAUCAAGCGGCUCACAACUGUCCACAAUUCUAGCUCCAGAGAGAACUGAUGCCUCUGGCUUCUGUGGGCACUGCACUCACAUGUACAUGCCCAAACUUGGAUACAUACACAUAAUUAAAAAUAAAUCUUUUUAAAAAGA